rnacentral:pre_miRNA from 1 species
GGAGAGACAUAACACGAGUGGAUAGUCACACAAUAAAUAUAUAAUAAUUAUAAAUUAUUAUAUAUUUAUUGUGUGACUAUCCACUCGUGUUAUGUCUCUCCAUA